CACAUGCCGCACAACAUGGACGGCCUCACCGGCUCCAAAUCCAACUCCCUCCCCCGUCUCCGACGACGCCCACCCUGCCCAAUCCUCAAGUUCAGGGGAGGGUUAGAUUGGAAAACACGGAAUUUAAAUUAAUCAAUAUUUUAUUAAUAAAUUCGAAAAGAAAAAUAUUUCUAAGGUGAAACCAAAAUCCACAGCACACUAUGCUAUGCUAUGCUCUCUAAUCC
rnacentral:lncRNA from 1 species